AGUGAACGCUGGCGGUAGGCCUAACACAUGCAAGUCGAACGGCAGCACAGUAAGAGCUUGCUCUUACGGGUGGCGAGUGGCGGACGAGUGAGGAAUACAUCGGAAUCUACUUUUUCGUGGGGGAUAACGUAGGGAAACUUACGCUAAUACCGCAUACGACCUACGGGUGAAAGCAGGGGAUCUUCGGACCUUGCGCGAUUGAAUGAGCCGAUGUCGGAUUAGCUAGUUGGCGGGGUAAAGGCCCACCAAGGCGACGAUCCGUAGCUGGUCUGAGAGGAUGAUCAGCCACACUGGAACUGAGACACGGUCCAGACUCCUACGGGAGGCAGCAGUGGGGAAUAUUGGACAAUGGGCGCACGCCUGAUCCAGCCAUACCGCGUGGGUGAAGAAGGCCUUCGGGUUGUAAAGCCCUUUUGUUGGGAAAGAAAAGCAGCAGGUUAAUACCCCGCUGUUCUGACGGUACCCAAAGAAUAAGCACCGGCUAACUUCGUG
rnacentral:rRNA from 1 species